rnacentral:rRNA from 1 species
CCUACGGGAGGCAGCAGUGAGGAAUAUUGGUCAAUGGACGAGAGUCUGAACCAGCCAAGUAGCGUGAAGGAUGCCUGCCCUAUGGGUUGUAAACUUCUUUUAUAUGGGAAUAAAACAGGGUAUGCAUACCCUCUUGUAUGUACCAUAUGAAUAAGGCUCGGCUAACUACGGGCCAGCAGCCGCGGUAAUAAGGUGGAUCCGGGCGUUUCCCGGAAUUAAUGGGUUUAAAGGGAUCGUAGGUGGUUGGUUAAGUCAGUUGUGAAAGUUUGCGGCUCAACCGGAAAAUUGCAGUUGAAACUGGCAGUCUUGAGUACAGUAGAGGUGGGCGGAAUUCGUGGUGUAGCGGUGAAAUGCUUAGAUAUCACGAAGAACUCCGAUUGCGAAGGCAGCUCACUGGACUGCAACUGACACUGAUGCUCGAAAGUGUGGGUAUCAAACAGGAUUAGAUACCCUGGUAGUC